rnacentral:lncRNA from 1 species
AUUAGCUCCAUUCAUGUGCUGAACUCAUUGAAGAUGUCCAACAAGGAAAAAGAGGCCUUUGAUUUCCCGUGUCCCCCAGCACCUUGUCCCCCAGUCCCUGUCUGUCAUGCACUUCCUUGCAGAGGUGUCCGUUUGCCGUGUACAGAUGUGAAUAGUAAUUUAUUUAGGUAGCUCGUGGCUCGUGGGCCGGCUCCCUGCAGCCCGCCCUGCGGUGCUGGCUCCUCUUUCUCUGUGACGUCACUCUCUGGUAUCGCACUGGAAGUCGGACACCAGAGUCGCACCUUGAACUCAGCGGGAAUUGUUCAGGAUCAAACACUAAGUGUCCCUUUGGAGGAAGGGAAGUGCACGCGUCUCCUCAGGACCCUCCAUCCCACUGGUUGGUUUCCCAUUUGUUUUACACUUUAGGGUUCCAGACAGAUCAUCUCAUGACUUUCAGGCUACAUCCCAUAUAGGAGACCAUAAACCACACGAUCAAUAGAACAGUCUACGCUUCCCAAAGCGGAUGAGAUCAAAACCACGGGUAGGAGAUGUGACCAGGAGAAUGUGGUGUAAGAAAUUCAAAGUGAAGAUCAUGUUUAUUUUUAUUUAUACUUGUUUGAUAAAAGUAUUUUUGAAAAGAUGACGCUUAUUUUAUUAUUUGAUGUUUAGUACAUGUCCCACAUGUCGAGGAUUUCCCCUCUGCACAGUGGCGGUGUCAGGAUGUGGCACUGGCCCCCAGCUUGCUGUGGGGGGCACAUCCAUGCUAGCGUUAGGACUGACGCGUCUGCCUGGCUGCUGACCUUUUCAGCGCAGGACUUCACCAUGAAACACAGAAGGGACCCAGCAGGACACACACUGCUCAUUCUCUGAAAGUCACGCAUCCUGGUCUGAGCACUCAGUAGGUCUCGCACUCGGCUCCCUGGGCUCUGUUGCCAGGGGAAGGCGCACCUGCGCUGGGGCUCCCUGGCCUCCGCUGGCCGCCUUGUGCUUCGGGCUCCAUGUUUUUGGGCUCCGUCUGUCCUUCUCUGGCCAAGCUGGCUGCUUUCCCAGAGAUUGCUUUGCGGAUGGGGAUCCUCCCGUGGUUCUUCUGGGCAGACUGGCAGAAGUCCGGAGGAGCCGUGCUCCUAACACAUACUGGACUAAAGAACAGAGAAUGUCAAAGUGCGAGGCUCACUGUGUGCAAGGGAGAACAGGUCACUCUAUAUAUACUAGGUGUAUAUACAUAUAUAUAUAUAUAUUGUACAUAUCUCAGUUUGGGUCAUUCAAACGAGGUGCAAAAUGCUGACUUCAGAGUCUGAAUCAAUGUCUCUGUCCCCACAUCCCUGACUGCCUGCUGGUCAAUGACGUCAUGAAGUCCUGAUGACAGGACGUGCAUACACACAAGAAACCACAUAUCAGAUUAGUACUAUUUUCCUUUGUGUGCACAUCAAACUGUCCUAUGGUUGCCAGUUUGGAGCAUGUUGUUCGACACCAACAGACAAAAAUGGAGUGACUUUCAGGUGAGAAUCCCCCCAGCCUCCGCUGGGGUGUGUGCGGUGCUUCCCGGGUCUCCGCGGGCGCGGGGGCGCGGGGUCAGGCCGCACUUGCACAGUGAGGGCUAGAGGACUUCCCGCAGGACCGCGGCGGGGGACCGCGAGCUGCGAAGGUCAUGUGCUUCAAAGCUGUUUAAGACUGCUGCUUUCUCACACAUCUUGCCUUCCCUUCAGGCUAGCUGCAAUAAUUUUUUUCUUCUGUAAAAUAUUUUGUACACAACAACAAAAAAGCUCUUAUAAAAAGGGGAAAAAGAAAGCUGGCAUUACGAUCAGGAAAACCCACGUCAUCGCCACCCCACCCCGCCGUCCCUCCACACGCUGCUGUCACGAAGUAGGUGCGAAGACCUUUUUGUACAGAGAUAUAUUUUUUAUGAAGAAUUUGUAAAAUUAUUAAAUAUGCUGUAAUUUUUUGAUUAAUGUAGGUAAAUUGUUAAAAAAAAUAAAUGUUUUUACAAUACAAAACUGUAAUUUUCCCAAUAAUGUAAAAUGUACCAUCUCUAGCUGAUCUCCGGUCCCUGUCCUAUUCCACACGUAUCAAUAUUAAAGUGGCCUGUUAAAAUGAACAGUAUCUUUUUUGUCAAAAACUAUAAAAAGUGUAAUAUAGCCUGUGCAAUGCCACCUAUCUUUAAAGCAAAUCAGAG